UCCUGGUUAACCCAGGCAGUCUCAUUAGAGUUCCCACCUUUCGUGUUGGCAACUAAUGAUAAGGGUUGCGCUCGUUGCGGGACUUAACCCAACACCUCACGGCACGAGCUGACGACAGCCAUGCAGCACCUGUGCAGCGGCCCCGAAGGGAGGCUUCAUCUCUGAAGCUGUCCACUGCAUGUCAAGUCUGGGUAAGGUUCUUCGCGUUGCAUCGAAUUAAACCACAUGCUCCACUGCUUGUGCGGGUCCCCGUCAAUUCUUUUGAGUUUCAGCCUUGCGACUGUACUUCCCAGGCGGUAUACUUAACGCGUUAGCUACGGCACAACUGGGGUUGAGUCCAGUUACACCAAGUAUACAUAGUUUACGGCAAGGACUAC
rnacentral:misc_RNA from 1 species